UACGUAUGGUGCAAGCGUUAUCCGGAUUUAUUGGGUUUAAAGGGUGCGUAGGCGGAUCGUUAAGUCAGUGGUCAAAUUGAGGGGCUCAACCCCUUCCCGCCAUUGAAACUGGCGAUCUUGAGUGGAAGAGAAGUAUGCGGAAUGCGUGGUGUAGCGGUGAAAUGCAUAGAUAUCACGCAGAACCCCGAUUGCGAAGGCAGCAUGCCGGCUUCCUACUGACGCUGAAGCACGAAAGCGUGGGGAUCGAACAGG
rnacentral:rRNA from 1 species